UGCACUCUCCUCAUACCCCUGAGCUCACCCUGUGAGGAGGAUUCACAUUUUUAAGCUACCAGCAAUACUGUCAUGGGAGUCCUGCAAAUGCUACUGCGUCAGGACUUUUAACAAAAAGUUGACUUUUAUUGAAUGCAAUUGAAUUGCAAUUAGCAGUGAUGAAUGGAUGUAUGGUGGUAGGGCUCUGCAAAUUCAGAUGUUGAUUUUUUGUUUGCCCUGUACUUUGUCAGUGGGAUAUGUUUCCAAAUGAAGAUUGUUCUGAUAAUGACUUAAAAGGCUAUUCCUGUUUCUAUUCUAUCCCAGGUUGCACUUAUAUUGAAUUUAUACACCAUUAAAUAACUUUAAAAUAUUUAUUUAAGAGCCACUGAUACUUUUUUUUAUGUGAACACUUUGACUUAAUGUUAAGAGUAUGUAUAGUCAGCAUUUCAUCAACAACAGACAGAAAAUGCAUUGGAUGAGCUUAUUACCAAGCAAGCUGGAUACAUAAUCAAUAUUCAGAAAAAAACCCCUGAACUGAGCAAUGUGAAAUAAAGGAAAACAUUUAGUUAAAAAUGGAAAUUGAUAAUCGUCUGUAGUAUAUAUCUAUAUACUUUUCACUGAAGUACAAAGCCUAUAAAAUCAAGUAUGUUAAUUGAUUCACAGAUUGCUGAAACAUGACUGUGAUCUGAGCCAACUGAAUUAUUUUUCUAGGGGAAACUAGCAUAUCCUGAGGAUCAGAAACCCUGAAGGACACUUUUUUGAAUCUUGUGUUUCCAGGCAGAAAGCGAAAUGUUCUCAUUUUCCUCUGUCCUCUCUUCUAUACAUUUUUUUCCCCCUCAUCUGGAAUUGAUUGUAGCAGUGGGCACUGUGCUUUCACAAACCAAGCACGCUUCCAUACAAUUGUGAUAUUUGCUUGCUGCUUUAUCAGUCCAGGGCAAACUGCUCAAUCUAUUUUUUUAUGGUACCUUCUUUUUAUUACACUUGCAUAGUGCAUGGGCAUGGUUGUUAACAUUCAGCUGUAUUUGUACAAAAGAAUAAAUAGGAGUCAUCCCAGCUCUACUGACCACUGAAAUACCUCUUCUGCUUUUCUGCUCUUAUUAAAAAGUUUGUUCAUGUUUUUCUCUGUAUCUCAUCUACAAAGUAGAUGAGAUUUUGCCAGCAUCCUGUAGUUUGUGCUGUAUGAAUCAAUGGAGAAAAUAGUCUGCUGUGUGUCUGGAAUUUGAUAUUUACCUAUUAAAUCUGAAAGGUAAAGCAUCUGAAAAAGAAAACGGUCUCAACCCUUCUUUUGCUGUACUCUGUGAGAAUGCCAUGCUUAGUAAGUAUACUUUUGAAUUGUGGAAUGAGCAUAUAUGGUAGGUACCAGGCUGCUCAGGGUAAUGGUUACUUUGUUGUGGUGUGUUACGUGAUCAGGUUUGGUUAGAAACUGGGUAGAAGUACCCUGAAAUCAGCAGAACUGUGUCCAGGCAAAGGGAUCUGCCAGUACAGCUACUUGUAAAAUUCUGGAGCUAAAAUCUCAGUGAUACCCAUUUAGCACUGUGUGACUUGUAGUUUUUUCAGGUAGCAGCCCUGCAGUUGGAUGUUUAUAGUGUCAUGAAAUCUGUGCAGUGCAGCUCCCCACCAUGAGAAGGGGUGGCCUUGUUCCCAAGAGUGACCCGUGCAGUUCCCAGCUCUGAUCAAGGCUGGUGUGACUGGAUCACUGGGGAUUGCAGCAGGGAAUGGGGGUGGGAAGGAGAGAAGGCAAAAGGGUGUAUUUGUGUUGGGCAGUUCAUGUCUGUAAGCCUGCUCUUUGGAAGUGGUGAAUGUCACCAGUGUCACUUGCUUGGGUCACUCUGCAGUAGUACCUGUGGAGGGAAUUGCUUCAUGGGUGAUUGUGACAUCCAGGGACAGAGGGAACUGCUGUGUUACCCUGUGUCAUUACCCUUCCCAAAGUUGCCAUGAGUGAGUGCCAUCCCCUCCUGAUCAAAGAGGUUCCCAGGGCCGGCUCUGCUGGCCCUUGAGGCACCUCAAGUGAAGCUGAAGCCAAUGCAUUGAUAGGUAUUAUGUUACCUAAAUGAUAUAGCUGAAAAUGAAAGGAGAAGUACUAAAGGGAGAGCGCAGAGGAUAAGCAGCUGCAGAAACCUCUCUUCCACUACUUAUGCUGCUGCCUGUCAAACUCAACAAAUGACACCAAAAUGUGUCAUUGCUGGAUUUGUAAAUAGGUGUGCUAUGAUGUAAAAAUCUGCUCUUUUCCAGGUGGGUGUUGCUCAUCUCUCAGCAGUGCAUGGUAAUGUGACUGCCCCUCUCAAAGGGGGGAGAUGGGGUUUCGUGUCAUGGUCCCCCUGAAAUGCACACACAGCAUCUGAAAGGUGGGGCCUCUCCCCAUCCUGCUUGGAACUGUGAUGCUUUGCCUUCCUCUCAAUUAAUAAAUGCUCAGGUGUUUGUUAACUUGAUUUAUUCUUUAUUUAUUGACAGAGCCGCUUUAAGUGUGAACAGUUACAUUCAGUUUCACUGUUAAUUUCUUCAAGGCAGUCUCACCAUUUGCAUAGUGCAGGGGUUUCUGCUGUUCAUGAAAACUUCCAAGAUCUUGUUACUAAAAUAUUUUAGUAUAAAACCAGUUGUUGUAAAAAGACUUUUCUGAUGUGAUGUUUUUUUCCCAGUGAAAUCUAUAGUUACCUUAGGCUGGGAGGAGAUUGCUGUUUCAACCACUGAAAAAUUUUGAUACAGCUUAUUUUUAAUUUUCUUUUUAUUCAGGAAAAAACAAAAAUUGGUAAAUUGUUUCCGUGGAGUAGUAUGGUUUGUUUUACCAGAAGUUUUACUGUAUGUCAAGCUUUCCAGGUAAUUACAGAAGCUCAUUUGAGUCCUCUGAGGGCAGAUAUUGAAGGUGAAGGUUGCCCUUGUGUGUGCUUCACUGCUUUGUUGUGGACGCCUUGAUGGAGAGUCCUGUGCCAGUGCUCUCACUGCACCACGGGUUUCUCUUAACUUCCCAGUGACUGACAAAGGACUGUAUUGCAACAUAGAUGCUUGCAGAGGCUCAGGUCACUGGCAAGGCUUGGUAAGUGGUACCCUGUGUUCUCUGGGGUCCUGUGCACCUGCAAUACUCCAGUUGUGGCUGUGGCCCCUCCAGCUUCCCUGGGCACAGCGUGUUGGGCAGUCACAGUCCCAGCAGUGCUCCCUUACCCUUCAGCCUGUGUUGGGUUGCACCCAUCUCCCUGCAGCAUCCUGAGCUGAGUGUUGGGACUAUUCAGAGUGCUGCCACCUGACCUGCAUUUGCAGAUGUGUUUGAUGUAUCUGGUUAGUAACCGUGCCCAUGUCAUUAACAGAGAAGAUAAACACUAUUUCUAAGAAUGGAAGCUUUUGUAAUCUUAUUGAAGGCGCAGGAUUUCAUGAAAAAUUGCUUUGUGAUAUUUUGCUUAUACUGCAAAAUUCUCACUUGAGGUCAUAAAAGUCAGAGUCUUGCUCCAAAUUUUCCAGCAGUGGUAUUCCCAACACACCCUGUAACUACAGAAGGCACUAAGCAUCCUGCUCAUUUUGUUAGAACAGAGCUCUCUAGAAUUCUUGAGAGACAAUUCUUACUAUAUAAAUACAUCAUUAUGCUAAAUGUUCUUUGGAAUGAAAAGCAGGUAUUCCCAAGUCUGCUGUUCAAGUAUUGCUCUUGCAGAGAAAAUCUGUUUUGCUCCUAAAUCUUCUGAUACUUCAGAAUAGCUGUGAAGUUAAAAAAAAAAAAUCUUUCCAACAACAGGAGGUGAAAGAAAAGUACAAACAAAAGAACAACACCUAAAAGAAACCCCAACAGCCCCCCAACAUUUAUUACCCAUACCCUCUUCCUCUCCCUCUGUUCCCAUUGUACUUUCCCUCUCAAAUGAAGAAAACAUAUUCUUUCCAGACAAGAGGGCGUGGCUUGCCCAUAAUUUUUCUUUUAGAAGUAUGAAUUUCUUUCAGUCUAAAUAAAUGAAAAAAUAAUACUGAGAAAACAAAUUGUUUGCAUGUACUUUAGUGUGUUAUGAAGUGUGUGAUGUGUUUUUUAAGGGAGGCAGGAAUGUGCAGAAAAUGGGAGAGAGAGCAGAAUGUAUGUGGCUGUUGCAGAGUCCUUUUUGCAGUGCAUUGUGGAAGGUUUCUGGCACCACUUCUGAACACUGUUUCAGAGUGAGCUUCCUUUCCUAAAGCUCUGCACUGGAGAUAAUACUCUGGAAAGUAUAAAUGUACAUUGAGGGACAUCAGGAAGGGAAAUGUUUAGCACACUUAGGUGUAAUGCACAGCAUUGAUUCCUGUAAGAAGAAUUGCUUAAUCAUAAGCUUUAAAAAAAACAAAACAGCUGAGCUUGUUUAAAAGUCAAGCUUGUGAGAACAAACCUGAGUCAGGAUGUACUGGAACGCUUAUUAAUGUAACUAUGAUAUAUGGAUGCACCAGAUUUUUAAUCAAAGGAAUAAUUUUACCUUAAAAAAAGUACCUGAGGGAAAAGAAGGGAAUUGGAAGAACAGAACAACUUACUGUCACCCAUGUUUUAAUUUCGUUUACCCAUCUUUGCUGCCAUACUUCAAUCUGCAUUUGCAGUGAGGUGUAUUUGUAUUCACAGUCCACCAGCUCUGGGUGUUACAAAGUAAUUUUCAAUAGAAUGUGACUUUUUUAGCAGUGAACUCAGUUAAUCAAAGAAACUGGUUUAUAUUAGUUUUGUUUUUUGUAAUUUUUGUUAUGGUUUCUGUACAACAUGAUGUAGCAGCUAAAUUAUUGGUUAUGGAACAGCUAUCCAGGCUGUGCAGCAGUACCUACACUUUAACAUGCCAAUAGCUAUUUCUCCAGCUAACAUUUCCUAUUCUAAAGACUGCAAUACAUAAAAUAUUUUUUUGUAAGCAUUUUGUGUAAUUAGCUUUAUAACUUGUGUAUAGAAAGAAAGCCAUGUUAGUAAUAUUCUUAAAAAUUGAAGCAAAGCAGACAAAGUAUUUUACCUGCUUUGUCUACAGUCACUUCCCAUUGUUGUCAUUUGACAGUUGAAUUUCUUGCUUUCUAAUGCCUUUAUCAAAGAACCCCAAACAAACAAUUACAAACAACGAUAAAAAAAUUUAAAAAAUCCCAAAACAAAACCAACAAUAAAUUGCUGUGUUUCUUGGGGGAGAGAUGCAUAAUUUUGUAGAAGUGAGUGCUAUUUAUGAUUUUGUGCAUUUUAAUUUUCCUUACUAUUUAAGAAGGUUCAAUAUCAACAAAAUGGUAAGUCACCAGAGAAACUUAGUGUUCUCCUGCAAGAAAUCUUGCAAAAGUAUAGGUUUUUUUUUUGGUGUAAUGCUUGUUUGCCAGAUGAUGAAGGCUUCAGAGGAGCUGGUCAGAGUGUGUGAAGGACUUGGUGUGAAGUGACACUGGUGCUGGAGCCCUUUGGUGUGUAUGUGGUGAAUGCCAAGGGACUUUUGCAGGUGUGAAUGGUUUGGGCAGUGGUGUUGGCAGGAGAGAGAAUUUUGGAGCUUGGAUGGUUGGGGGAUGCUUUUUCUUAAGGAUCAUUGAAAUAACUGGCUGCACAUGACUGCAGAGUGAACUUCCUUAAGCCACAGGAGGACUGCCUUCCCCUCUGCAUUUCUGGUCUUCCAGUAAUGAUAUAUAAGGAGCUGGUCAAUGCUACAAGCCUCAACAGAGCAUAAUGCUGGGAAUAACUCCUCUUGUUCUCUCAUAUAAAAUAACUCCUCUUGUUCUUCUCAUAUAAACAGGGAUUUAAUUGCAGAAAUGGCUGCUCAGCAGCAGCUCAGUGUUUGGGCAGUGUAUUUGUGAGGAUGUUAAGACUGACUGUGACUUGUUUAUCUGUGGUUUCCUGGUUUAUGGUAGCUGUGGCAUAUAGGCUUUUUCCUUCCUCAGAGAUAGAUAGUGUGCAUUCGUGAUUUCUGCUAUGGUAUCUUUUCCUUGGUCUGUGUGGUUGUAAACCUUGCUUGGCAGAAGGCUUGGAAAACCUACAUAACUUAGACUUUUUUUCUUUUUUUUUUUCCCCCCAGUAGGAAAGGCGAGGAAGCUGGGAAGGAUCUUGUUAUCCUUUGCCAACCUACAGUGAAUUUGUCUAGUGAGCCUGCCUUUCUCCCCUGUAUCUUCAGUGAUAGUCCUUGGUGAGAUGGAGGUCUCUGUGCCUUGUUGGUUUUGUUCAGCUGAGGUGCCAGGUGCAGGCUCUGGCGAGAGGAGUAGCAGUUGCUGACCAGCAGACCAAGGACUGUUGGUACUGCUGGCCAAAAUGCCCAUGAGUUGAAUUUGAGGCUAUUUUAUAGCUGCUAACGUGAGCCAGGGCUACUGCUGGCAUUUCUUUCCCCACCCUGUUUUCCCUGCUGUGCUUUGCAUUGCUGCAGAGACAGCAUUUGGGAGCUGCUUACUUGCAGACUUUGUGAAAGCCAAUUAAAGAGAGAAGAAACAGCAAAAAGAUUAAUUGGCUGGGGCCACUGGUCACAGCAUCCCUGAGUAAGUCACACUGGCUGUGAGUUAGCAUCAGGUGGGUGGAGAGCUGUGUCCCAUCAAGCUCUGGCUGGUGUUUUGUGCCUUGUUGGUGCCCUGCUGUCCCAAGGGGAAUGGGAUUCUCAGUCUGGCCUCUCAGGCACCUCUGCACCACCUCUGGCUUGGGGCAGUCCUGUUCCUCUACCCAUCACUGCAGUCACCCAUGCUGCUGAAGGCCAGACUUCUGCAGGUGGUGGCAGGGCAAGAAGGUAUUGCUCCAGGUAUGCCAGCAUUAGAAUUUUGUUUUGAAGACUGAAUAGAUAAGUACUAAAUUAUUAAGCAUGCCUUGGUUCUCCCUUCUUCUUUCCUAAAGCAGCUGAAAGAAAAAAGAAAAAAAACCUGUAUUAUGAAUUACAAAAUAAUUUUAGUCUAGAUCUUAUUUUUUGAAAAUGAAAGAUUUACCAAUAUUAAUUUAACUACAGUAAAUAAAACACUUUAAUCAACAUAAACAGGAACAUAAUAAGCAACAAAAAUGUAUAUAAAAAAAACCUUAAUGGAUGGGUGACUUAGAUCUUGGCAGUGGUGUUUUUUUCAAGGGCAGGAAUUACUGUUGUGCUGGUAAAUAAAAUAUAUGACCUCCAGUUGUUUCUGUCCUGCAUGUUGUAGCUGAGCAAAACUUCUAGUCAUGAUAUUAUACUGAAAUUCCUUUAUUUAUCCUUUCUUUCCUUGAAGUCAUGGACAAUAUGUUUGAGAAUUUUCUUUUAGUUGUUGUCUGAUAUAAACCAAAUCUGCUCCCAUCUGCUGAAGGAGGGGGUCAUAUAAACUAAUGAACUGGGUGUUGUAUGGGCAUCUUUCAGAUUAUGACACACUUUCAUUAUUUAUGCAUAUGUGCGAAUUGCCCUGUGUCAUAGCACAGUGCCUGCUUUGUAGCAAAAUGACAAUAAUCUCUUUGCACAUUUCCUGGGUUAGGAAUCAAAUAUAUUUCUGAACUUCAUUUAUUUGCUUUGCUUCCCAAGUGCUUCUUGCAAGAAUUUCACUAGAAUAAAAUGUGAUGCUCUAUGCCAAGUUAAAAUGUUUUCUGCGAGCGAGCAAGAAAAAUAAUGCAGAUGUGCUAUACACAUCUUGGCAGAAGACUAGGGUUUUUUAUAGCAUAUCUACCAUCACAGCUCAAGCUUGGCAAAACAUUCCUGUAGCAUAUGUAUAUGGCUUUUCAGGCAAACAGUAAGCAAAGUUUAAUGUGGCUUGCAGCACAGACUGAAGCUCUCUGGAGUUGGGGAUGCUUUCUCCUGAUUUCAGUGCCAUUUGAGCCAGACCAAUUAUGUGGUUGCACGUUUGUCUUGGCCUUUCAGGGUAGUCUCUUUUGGAUUUAGUCUGUAAUCAAAAGAGAAUGUCAGAAACAGAAGUCUCAAAUAACCUUUUCCUUUUGCCUGUAAGGCUGAAACAAGAGAGACUUAUGUAGGCAGAAAUAAUCUAAAGCUAAAUACAAAGUAAUUGCACAAAAUGCUUAUUAUUUCACUGUUUCUGGGCUGCCCUGUGAAAGUUUGAACUGCAAGUUUUAGGUCAAAGACAAACUGUAUUUUACAGUUUGGCUUAAAAUGGUAAUGAGCUUUUCUUUUAAAGGAUGGAGAUCUGUUAGAAAUUACAAAAUCUGAGUUCUCCUCAUGCCGUCCUUUUUUUAUAUUUUUCCUGUAAGAUUUCUGUGCUGUGCAUAGAGCUUCUCCUGCAUAUCUUCAAAAGAUGGAUGAACAUCACCCACUGAACUGAUCCUGUGCCCUCCCUCCUGCUUGCCAUAGCUAACCAAUGCUUCAUCCAUAUAAUUUAGACUCUUAAGCCUUCUUGUUGUGGGACAAGGCCCAGAGUCUCUAAGGGAUUUGUGUAAUUUUCCCAAAGAUUAUUUUACUGCUGGUUAGAGUAUACUAAAGUUUAUUUCUGGUCUGAAGCCCCCUCUUAUAUUCUUUUUUUGGCUUCAGAAGCAACCAGGCAGAGAGAGGCAAAGGAGAGGAGCCCUUCUGCCACACGAUGCAAGCAGCGCAGGCAUGAAGGCUGGACUUCAUUCCUAUCAGAGAAGUGGAAAGUGCUUCUCAUUGAAUUGAACUUGCAGCAAAAUAGGCUGGGUGUUCCACAAUUAAAUCUAGCUAAAUUAGCACUGACAACUUAAGGUUACCUCCUACCUGUGGAACAACCCUGUCCACACUUCUCUCUGGAAAUAAUAAAAUGAAUUUUAGAAAAUCCACUGAAGUACAUCAGUAAAAUUUCAACUGGAUCAGCUAUGAACUGUAAGUUUUCUGAAGCAGAUGGUCCAUCUCUGGGUAAGCAGGAUGCUGGUUCCUGCUGAAAUCUCUGGCUUCUGUGUUAAUGUCAGAAAUAAGGUGGGGUGGAGGAGGAGAUGGCAGGGAGCUUCCCCUGUGUGUCACCGCAUCAGCCGCGCACCGCUGCCCCGCAGUUCUGCUGCCAGCGGCGCCGGCUCUGCAUGCCCCACCCAGCUCUGCUGCCCUUCACUUUUUUCAAUAAGUACCUAUAGCCUCACCUGGCUGUGAUGCUCACAGAAAAGGUGAGCUCAAAACAAAGCUUUGCGUCUACAUGUCUUAGUAUUUGAGGUCUGAAAAUUCUAAACAAAAUAUAACUUUUCUUUUUUACUCUAUUGGAUUGUCAUGGUGGUGUGGAUAAAAAUAUAUAUACAUAUACCUUUUCGGUUGUGACCAAGGUCCAGAUUUUUCAUCCUGAAUAUAUAUGUUUAUGCAGAGUGAUAUAUGCAGUUGUAACUAUUUAUGGAACUGUUUCUGAUAUCUGUCGUUUGUAUAUUGAUUUAAUUGUUUCAGUGGAACAUUUAUCUUCUGAACACAAGUGAGAAUGAAUGCUUAAGCACAGUCUUUUCUGUUUGUUUGUUUGGUGUUUGGAAAAAUAGCUGUUUUGAAAAUAUGAUCUUUUUUUGUGUGAAUCUUGAAGGUGGCUUAUCAAAAGACAAGUGCUAAACUACUGAAAAUUUCAAGGAAAUCUUAAUUUAAAAAAAAAAUAAAUCAGUUUUCCAGAAAAGACUUGUAUAAAAUUCAAAGUUUAAGGAAUUUUGUUAGAGUUAUCAUAGGAGGUUAUAAAUUACCAUUUUAAAACAUCAUUGUGCUAAAUUCAAAUUGAUUUAAUUUAGAAGAUGUGUCUUGUUCAGAAUUAUCAGCAUAAAUGUGUCUGCUUUUACUCUUAUUUUACAGACCAGUGCAGAGAACAGCUUGAAUAUGUUCUACUGUAUUGUGCAACAAGAUUGUACUUUUCAUAGGAAGGAUGAAAAACUCCAGAGUUCCAGAGAAUGUGUAUUUUUUUCCCUUGUCUUUGUAUUUUUGGAGAUUGUUUGACUAGUACAGUAUUAUGUUUGAUCUCAUCAGAUGCAGAUAGUCCAAAAAGAAUGUUUUAUACAAACUUUAUGAUUCUAGAACUUUUUGUGUCCAAGGCACCUUAAUUUUUUUUUUUCCCUAAAGCUAAAUGAAUUUUUAAACAACCAUGGUUUUAAGUAAUAGAACUAGCUAGUGAACACAUUUUUUUAUUGUGUGAAAGUAAGUAAGGAUUUUUUUCCCCCAAAGUAUGAAUGAAAGGGAUAGCUUUUGUGAAAAAUACUUCCUAAAAUGCCUGUGGGGGCUGUUUCAGAGAGAGGAAGUCUGCAUGGGACAGGGAUGCUCAGCUAGGAGGAAGGGCUAGCAGCAAGGUCAUACUCUGCAGAGUUUUCCAUAAACCUGCUGCUUUUCCAACACAUGUUGGAUGUCUUAAUCACUGACACUGAAGUAUUUUCUAGAAAAGCUUCGGAUCAAAGAAAAGCUUUGAGUAUGCUGACAUUUUUACUUCAAGUUUGGUUUGCACAAAGCUGACAUUUAAGAAAGCUUUCUCCUCGGGAUGAGGAGGAUUCCCAGCAUCUCUAAGCUGGCUAAAGCGUUUCUUUUUUCAAAUGGCAAGAUUCUACUUUAUUGCUAAUUUUUACGUUUUUACUUUGUCUUUCUUGAUGAAAGGGAACUGCAUUCCUAAUGUAACAACCUGCAAUGUGUGUGGAAGAACAGAGUGAAAUGACAUCAGCCUUUACAAAAUCAGAAGAGUAGAAGGUGUGUGAGUCAUCCAGUGAAAUAAAAUGUUACUAAGGCUGAAUUUUACUGUAUGAUGCAAACCUCCUGAUGAAGUCCACGCAUGUGAACUUGGAACAGAAGUUGGCCUAGCUGAGGGUGUUGCUGUGAGUCAGUGUCUGAUUUCCAACAGCUGGGAGAGUGCAAUCCCUCCCUGUGUGCGCUGUGUUUGUGUCCCAUCACUUACCUUAUAGGCAUGGGAUUUAUUACAUCUACAGUCUGGUUUUUACAUUGAAGCCUACAUGAGUAGGUUUCCUGCCUCUUCCUUUUCUUCAUCACUAGUGUGUGAAAGUACAGCAAAGCUUUGAUUUCAUUUUAGAGGAGUUGGGGUCUGUGUAUUGGACAUGCUGCGAGUUUGGAGGACAGCAAAGGCCCUGGCUGGCUUUAUCAGUCUCUUGCAGCUGGUGCAUCUUGCUCUGUGUCUUAACCCAUGAAAGUUCAUGACCUCUGUGUAUCUGACCAGCUCACUAUAUAUAGAUCAGGAUCUUCCCUGGGAGCUCUCCUGGCAGCCUGUCAGGUGCAGCCCUGGAGCAGCUCAGUGCCCAGGUGCAGGUGCUGUGUGUAACCAAUUUGUGUGUGCAGUUGUUUGUCCUACUCUUCUCUGCUGGGGCUUUAAUCUGUGCAUGGCUGGGAGUUACAUUUCUCUAGGAAAAAGCCUGUGAAAACAGCUGUAAGACUCUCUGCCGAGCCGAGGAUUUCUUCUUUAGAAAGCAAAGCCCCAUGUUCCUGGAAAA